AUACGGAGGAUCCGAGCGUUAUCCGGAUUUAUUGGGUUUAAAGGGCGCGUAGGUGGACAGUUAAGUCAGUUGUGAAAGUUUGCGGCUCAACCGUAAAAUUGCAAUUGAUACUGGCAGCCUUGAGUACAGUUGAGGUAGGCGGAAUUCGUGGUGUAGCGGGGGAAUGCUUAGAUAUUGCGAAGAACUCCGAUUGCGAAGGCAGCCUACUAAACUGCCACUGACAUUGAUGCUCGAAAGUGUGGGUAUCAAACAGGAUUAGACACCCUGGUAGUCCACACGGUAAACGAUGAAUACUCGCUGUUUGCGAUAUACAGCAAGCGGCCAAGCGAAAGCGUUAAGUAUUCCACCUGGGGAGUACGCCGGCAACGGUGAAACUCAAAUGAAUUGGCGGGG
rnacentral:rRNA from 1 species